rnacentral:lncRNA from 1 species
AGACACUAUUGUAAGGCCUACUCUGGAUUGUAUUUUACUAAUGCAAACCGUCUAUUUUAUAGAUAUUCAUUCAAAAAUCAUCUCUAUAAAAAAAUCACUUGAAUUCAAUUUCAUAUUAUGUAUAUAUACUCUCUCCUUCUGUUUGCCGUUUAUAUUAGCUAGCUAUCACACAUGCUCGAACUUGUUUUUUUCUUCCAGUUCUGUAAUGAUAUGGAUCGCAUGAUUUCAUAUUUUUUUCCAAAAAAUUAGUAGCCGUGAAUGAAAGAAGUCACAGGCUCUCUCUGGACACCAACGUUUUGAUGUUUUAUGCACGUACUGCCAUAAUUUUCAUAUAUUUGCAUAAAUUUUUUAUUGUCAGAACGUAAAUAUAAAUCACGCACGAUUUUAAUCAACCGGGCACGGUUUUAACAUUAACAAUCUCAAUAAUUUACACAAAUUAAUAUAAAUGUAAGUCUUGAAAGCGGUUUGUUUAUGAUUGAUAUUACACAUGCAUGCAUGGGUCAACAUUAGGCAAUUUACAUGAUUAGAUGUAAAGUAGUGUUACGAUUUUCAUGAUAUGAUUUUCCAGGUGUUGGGCUCGAUCAGUAGGGUUUUCUGGUGAGGAAAGAAUCCGUGAUUGAUAAGGAAAGAUCAGAAGAGAGAGAAAAGACAAUCUGAUUGGUAAAGCUACAGCUCGAAAUGAC